UACGUAGGUGGCAAGCGUUACUCGGAAUCACUAGGCGUAAAGCGCGGGUAGGCGGUUGGGUAAGUCUCUUGCGAAAGCUCCCGGCUUAACUGGGAGAGGUCAAGGGAAACUACCUGGCUAGAGUGCGGUAGAGGAAGCUGGAAUUCCUGGUGUAGCGGUGAAAUGCGUAGAUAUCAGGAGGAACACCUAUGGCGAAAGCAGGCUUCUGGACCGUCACUGACGCUGAUCCGCGAAAGCUAGGGGAGCAAACAGG
rnacentral:rRNA from 1 species